ACUCCCCUGCCGCCGGGUAUGGGAGCUAUGCGUCAGAUUUUCUAUCGUUAGGCCAAUGAAGAUAGAAAAUUCUGGCGCUAUUUUUUU
rnacentral:ncRNA from 1 species